GACGAACGCUGGCGGCGUGCUUAACACAUGCAAGUCACGGGGGUUGGAGCAAUCCAGCAACCGGCGAACGGGUGCGUAACACGUGAGCGACCUGCCCAGUUGUGGGGGAUAGCCGGCCCAACGGCCGGGUAAUACCGCAUACGCGUCUUUGGGGGCAUCCCUGGGGACGGAAACCUACGGGGCGAUUGGAGGGGCUCGCGGCCUACCAGCUAGUUGGCGAGGUAACGGCUCACCAAGGCGAUGACGGGUAGCUGGUCUGAGAGGAUGGCCAGCCACAUUGGGACUGAGAGACGGCCCAGGCUCCUACGGGAGGCAGCAGUGGGGAAUCUUGCGCAAUGGCCGAAAGGCUGACGCAGCGACGCCGCGUGGAGGAUGACGCCUCGGUCGGU
rnacentral:rRNA from 1 species